UUCGUGGGAACAAGAGAGCAGUUCGCCAGCCUCAUCGAGCUGCAUGUACUCGGGGCGCUCAGACUCGCGGAGUUCCUGUGGUCACCCUGACGACCAGUCUUCUGAGGUGGAACUUUCGUGGGAACAAGAGAGCAGUUCGCCAGCCCCAUCGAGCUGCAC